rnacentral:rRNA from 1 species
GACGAACGCUGGCGGCGUGCCUAACACAUGCAAGUCGAACGGAGAUAUGAUUUCGGUUGUAUCUUAGUGGCGAACGGUGAGUAACGCGUGAACAACCUGACUCUAAGAGGGGGAUAACACUCGGAAACGGGUGCUAAUACCGCAUAAGACCACGACCUGGCAUCAGGAUGAGGUCAAAGGAGCAAUCCGCUGAGAGAGGGGUUCGCGUCCCAUUAGAUAGAUGGCGGGGUAACGGCCCACCAUGUCAACGAUGGGUAGCCGAGCUGAGAGGCUGAUCGGCCACACUGGAACUGAGACACGGUCCAGACUCCUACGGGAGGCAGCAGUGGGGAAUAUUGGGCAAUGGGCGCAAGCCUGACCCAGCAACGCCGCGUGAGGGAAGAAGGCUUUCGGGUUGUAAACCUCUGUCCUUGGUGACGAAACAAAUGACGGUAGCCAAGGAGGGAGCCCCGGCUAACUACGUGCCAGCAGCCGCGGUAAU